GAGUUUGAUCGUGGCUCAGAUUGAACGCUGGCGGCAUGCCUUACACAUGCAAGUCGAACGGCAGCAUGAUCUAGCUUGCUAGAUUGAUGGCGAGUGGCGAACGGGUGAGUAAUACAUCGGAACGUGCCCUGUAGUGGGGGAUAACUAGUCGAAAGAUUAGCUAAUACCGCAUACGACCUGAAGGUGAAAGUGGGGGACCGCAAGGCCUCAUGCUAUAGGAGCGGCCGAUGUCUGAUUAGCUAGUUGGUGGGGUAAAGGCCCACCAAGGCGACGAUCAGUAGCUGGUCUGAGAGGACGAUCAGCCACACUGGGACUGAGACACGGCCCAGACUCCUACGGGAGGCAGCAGUGGGGAAUUUUGGACAAUGGGCGAAAGCCUGAUCCAGCAAUGCCGCGUGUGUGAAGAAGGCCUCGG
rnacentral:rRNA from 1 species